GACGAGCGCUGGCGGCAUGCCUAACACAUGCAAGUCGAACGGAGUUAUGUUGAUUGAGAUCUUCGAAUGUUUACAUGAGACGAAAAUUUAGUGGCGGACGGGUGAGUAACACGUGAGCAACCUGCCUUUAAGAGGGGGAUAACAUUGAGAAAUCAGUGCUAAUACCGCAUAAAGCUAAUUUAUCGCAUGAUAGAAUAGCCAAAGGAGAAAUCCGCUUAAAGAUGGGCUCGCGGCUGAUUAGUUAGUUGGUGGGGUAAUGGCCUACCAAGACAAUGAUCAGUAGCCGAGCUGAGAGGCACAACGGCCACAUUGGGACUGAGACACGGCCCCAGACUCCCUACGGGAGGCAGCAGUCGGG
rnacentral:rRNA from 1 species